rnacentral:rRNA from 1 species
UACGUAGGUGGCAAGCGUUGUCCGGAAUUACUGGGUGUAAAGCGCGUGUAGGCGGCAGGCCAAGUCUGCGGUGAAAGCGCCCGGCUCAACUGGGCGAGGUCCGUGGAAACUGGUCAGCUGGAGGACGGUAGAGGCGAGUGGAAUUCCCGGUGUAGUGGUGAAAUGCGUAGAGAUCGGGAGGAACACCUGUGGCGAAGGCGGCUCGCUGGGCCGGUCCUGACGCUGACACGCGAAGGCGUGGGGAGCGAACAGG